GAAAAUAACUAUGAUUCCCUUAGUAACGGCGAGUGAACAGGGAAAAGCCCAAAUUUGUAAUCUGGCACUUUUUACAAGUGUCCGAGUUGUAAUUUGUAGAACUGUUAUCCGUGCUGGACCAUGUACAAGUCUGUUGAAAAGCAGCAUCAUUGAAGGUGAAAAUCCUGUAAAUGAUAUGGACUACCAGUGCAUUUGUGAUACGGUUUCUAAGAGUCGAGUUGUUUGGGAAUGCAGCUCAAAGUGGGUGGUAAAUUCCAUCUAAGGCUAAAUAUAAGUGAGAGACCGAUAGCAAACAAGUACCGUGAGGGAAAGAUGAAAAGAACUUUGAAAAUAGAGUUAACAGUACGUGAAAUUGCUGAAAGGGAAACGUUUGAAGUUAGUUUUGUAUUCGUUGGAUCAGCUUCGCAAGGAGUGUAUUCUGAUGAUAAGCAAGUCAACAUCAGUCUAUGAGUGUCGGAGAAGGGUUUUGAGAAUGUAGCAAUUUAAUUGUGUUAUAGCUUGAGACUUGGAUACGAUGCUUUGGAUUGAGGAACGCGUAGUAAGCUUUGAGCGGAUUCGAAAGGAUCUCCUUACUAUGGAUGUUGGUGAAAUAACUUUAAGCGACC
rnacentral:rRNA from 2 species